UACGUAGGGGGCAAGCGUUGUCCGGAAUCAUUGGGCGUAAAGAGCGUGUAGGCGGCCAGGUAGGUCCGUUGUGAAAACUCGAGGCUCAACCUCGAGACGCCGAUGGAAACCAUCUGGCUAGAGUCCGGAAGAGGAGAGUGGAAUUCCUGGUGUAGCGGUGAAAUGCGCAGAUAUCAGGAAGAACACCCGUGGCUAAGGCGGCUCUCUAGUACGGUACUGACGCUGAGACGCGAAAGCGUGGGGAGCGAACAGG
rnacentral:rRNA from 1 species